rnacentral:rRNA from 1 species
UACAGAGGUCUCAAGCGUUGUUCGGAUUCAUUGGGCGUAAAGGGUGCGUAGGCGGCGGGGUAAGUCUGAUGUGAAAUCCCGGGGCUCAACCCCGGAACUGCAUUGGAUACUGCCCUGCUUGAGUACUGGAGAGGAGACUGGAAUUUACGGUGUAGCAGUGAAAUGCGUAGAGAUCGUAAGGAAGGCCAGUGGCGAAGGCGAGUUCCUGGACAGUGACUGACGCUGAGGCACGAAGGCCAGGGGAGCAAACGGG